rnacentral:rRNA from 1 species
CCUACGGGUGGCAGCAGUGGGGAAUAUUGCACAAUGGGGGAAACCCUGAUGCAGCGACGCCGCGUGAGUGAAGAAGUAUCUCGGUACGUAAAGCUCUAUCAGCAGGGAAGAAAAUGACGGUACCUGACUAAGAAGCCCCGGCUAACUACGUGCCAGCAGCCGCGGUAAUACGUAGGGGGCAAGCGGUAUCCGGAUUUUCUGGGUGGAAAGGGAGCGGAGGCGGCAGCACAAGGCUGGAGUGGAAUCCCGGGGCUUAACCCCGGGACUGCAUUGGAAACUGUGCUGCUGGAGUGCAGGAGGGGUAAGCGGAAUUCCGAGUGUAGCGGUGAAAUGCGUAGAUAUUAGGAGGAACACCGGUGGCGAAGGCGGCUUACUGGACUGUAACUGACGUUGAGGCGCGAAAGCGUGGGGAGCAAACAGGAUUAGAUACCCCUGUAGUC